rnacentral:rRNA from 1 species
UUCUCAAAGGACCGACCUCAGCACAGGU